rnacentral:rRNA from 1 species
GACGAACGCUGGCGGCGUGCUUAACACAUGCAAGUCGAACGGUGAACUCCGCUUGCGGGGGGAUCAGUGGCGAACGGGUGAGUAACACGUGGGCAACCUGCCCUCAGCUCUGGGAUAACUCCAAGAAAUUGGGGCUAAUACCGGAUAUGACCGCUGACCGCAUGGUCUGGUGGUGGAAAGAUUUAUCGGCUGGGGAUGGGCCCGCGGCCUAUCAGCUUGUUGGUGGGGUAGUGGCCUACCAAGGCGACGACGGGUAGCCGGCCUGAGAGGGUGGCCGGCCACACUGGGACUGAGACACGGCCCAGACUCCUACGGGAGGCAGCAGUGGGGAAUAUUGCGCAAUGGGCGAAAGCCUGACGCAGCGACGCCGCGUGGGGGAUGACGGCCUUCGGGUUGUAAACCUCUUUCAGCAGGGACGAAGCGAAAGUGACGGUACCUGCAGAAGAAGCACCGGCCAACUACGUG